GUUAUGACAUCGGCAAGUAUUGAAAUCUAACGUGCGAUAGAGGUUUUCGCAAUCUAAAAGUCUCAUUCCUAUUAAAUUCCAUAGUAGUGAGAACUACUUUAUACAGUGCUACGUCAUACCUGCCGGAUUUCUGCAUGCUUGAAUGCCAGUAACUCAGAUACACAUGAAAACAUGAAGUGACCCAGGGAAUUGAUAAAACAUCACUCAGAGAUGCACAAAAAGAAUAUUACAUUCAAAAUAGGUGAACCUUUCCUUGAAGCCUUGUUCACAGUGCAGGCCUUAAUGCUCAGAUCAGUUUUGUUGUUAAAAUAUGUUUUGGAAAACUGACUGUCCAAACAGCAAAUUGGAUGUGUGUGUGUUCAGACAGCAGUCAUUUGCUGACUUGGUUACACUGGUUGCCAUAGUAACGACGGGUGUGUGAGCAGUGGUGUUGAACAUUGAACAUGUAUUUUUGAUCAAUGUAAAGAGAAAGUCAUAACAAUGAAAUCACACUUACACAUUGCCUUCACUAAAAGUACAGAAUACAUCAUAAUAACAAUGAUUUAAUUGACUGGUGUAAAGUAACCCCGAAAGCAGUAAAUGUCACUGCAUUUAUUUCAUUACACAAAAUAUAAAAAAACAGAUGUCUGAUCAACCCUUUUGCAUGUAUUUUUAGUGAGUGGUAAAAUAUUUUAAAUAACUGACCAUCGGUCUACUCAGUGACAGGUGUCUCAAGUGCUACGCCCUGACUCAGGCUGUUAAGUGCGGAGGUCAGUAGGUAGUAGUGAAGACAUUCCCACAGUGCCAAGCAUUGGGACACGUUGUCUCACUUAGCAUACCGUGCACUUUGAGCUCCGACAGCUUCUUUCCAGUGGUGGAGUGUACCCUCUCGUAAAGCACCUACAGGGUGUGGGAGAGGUUUACAGCAGGAGAAGUGAAUAUGAUCGUAUAGUCAAAUCUACCUUUGGAGAGACAAAAGCCUUCAAUGUCAUUUAUUAAUAUGUAGGGUUUAAGUUUUGAAAAGUAAAUAGAUAAUAAAAACCAACCCAGAAAGGACUGAAGGUAAUAAUUAAACAGUGGAGUGACAUCAUCCACCCUCAUGUCGUUGUCUAUCUUGGAGCGAACAAAGUAGAACUUCUUCUUCAUCUUCUGGAUCUCCUUGGCCAGAGUAAUGUCAUUGGCUCUGAAUCGCUCUGAUGAGACUAUGAUGAAGAAAUCAAAGCGAUCGAAUUCAACUUUCUGAAGGUACUCUUCUGGUUUGAAGUUAGUGGUGCCAAUACCAGGGAGAUCCCAAACUUUCAAAUUUGGGUAUUUUGGGUGGGGGUAAGCCUUUGCCUCCAUGGUGGUUUCCACCACACCAGUUAGAGCAGCUCCUUCUUCAUUAUUCUUCAUGCCUAUGAAUGCAUUGACAAAGGUAGAUUUACCGGAUCCUGUCUCUCCUGUGACAGCAAUAUUCAGCUCCACAUUAUUAAUCUCCUUCAAAUAAUCUUGAAUCUUGCCUGCAGCUGUGGUCAAGCUGUUGUUCUUCAAUGCUUCUUCAAGCUCUCUUGGUACUGCUGAAAGUUCAUCAAUAUUCUCCAUGGCAAUCGUAUUUCAAAUAAAUGCAAGUGAAUGAAUGUAUGUAUGUAUGUUUGACAAUGGCGAGACUAGGAACUGGACAUAUAAUGACAGUCUUAGACCACACCCACCCAUAACUGGCAGCAGCAUUGUAAAAUACCUUAUCUUUACGGUCUACUUUGUACGUCAGGGUAUGGGACCAAGGAUAACGACCUGUUCUCUACAUCUGGAAAUGUUUAUGAACAUUCACACAGAUUGAAUACCUACAAGGUAUGUGUCACGCACUGGCCAUAGAGAGGCUUUUAUUCUCUGUUUUGGUUAGGCCAGGAUGUUACUAGGGUGGGCAUUCUAUGUACUUUUUUCUAUGUUUUUGUAUUUCUUUGUUUUUGACCGGGUAUGGUUCUCAAUCAGGGACAGCUGUCUAUCGUUGUCUCUGAUUGGGAACCAUACUAAGGUAGCUCUUGCCCACAUGGGUUUUGUGGGUAGUUGUUUUCUGUUUUGUGUCUUUCUGCACCUGACAGGACUGUUUUUGUUCAUUCUCGUUGUUAUUUUUGUUAUUUCAGUGUUCAGUUAAUAAAAAUCAUGAACACGUAUUACGCUGCACCUUGGUCCUCUCCUUCCAACAGCCUUUACAGUAUGGCUGUAAUUAUGGCCACUUGGGUCAAUUCCAUUUCACUCUGUUCAAGGGACAUUGUAUUCAAACAGCACAAAUUGUGUUAAAAAAUAAGUGAAAUAUGUUCCUCUUCGUUUUACAGGUGAGGUGUUAAAAGUCCAUGUUGAAGUAUACAACUCGAUGCGCACUAUAACCUCAGUUUUACCAAAAAGAAAAGCAGAGCUUCUUUAAGCAUAAUAGGAAAUUCUACACUGAUGACAUUGUAUAAGGCCCAGUGCAAUCAAAGACAUGAUUUUCCUUUGAUAUAACCACAAAAUGAGGUUGGAAAUAAUACCAUUGAAAUUGUGAAUAUGAUAAAGCCCGUUCUGUGUAAGAGCUGUUUGCCUGCCUGGUGACAAAUGCUAUGUAUGUUGUCUCCUCCCCACUCAGACCACUCCCAGAUAGUCCUAGCAAAAAUAUUUUUUAUACGCACUUACAUAUGACUUGACAGAGACUUCAGUGCGGCUUUUGACAUUAUCAAUCGUAGUCUGCUAAAUCUAAUUUUACAUAGGUAUUCAGACACUUUGCCAUGAGACUAGAAAUUGAGCUCAGAGGCAUUCUGUUUCCAUUAAUCAUCCUUGAGAUGAUUCUAUACCUUGAUUUGAGUCCACCUGUGGUAAAUUCAAUUGAUUUGACAUGAUUUGGAAAGGAACACACCAGUCUAUAUAAGGUCCCAUAGUUGACAGUGCAUGUCGAGCAAAAACCAAGCCAUGCUGUCGAAGGAAUUGUCCGUAGAGCUCCAAGAGAGGAUUGUGUUGAGGCACAUUCCUGCAGCAUUAAAGGUCACCAAGAACACAGAGGCCUCCAUCACCACCAAGACACUUCCUAGACUUGGCCACCCGGCCAAACUGCACAAUCCGGGGAGAAGGGCCUUGGUCAACACAAAUCAUAAUAUAUCAUCUCUGUAGGUGUCUCGGCUGGUGGUUUGUCAUGUGAAGGACAUUGAAGUGGAUGUGACCGCUAACCUGCAGGAGAGGCUCACCGGGGUGACGGACCUCCUGUCACGGAUCUCCAUGCUUGUGUCUGAGGACCUGGAGAGGCUGUGUCUACAGCUGUGGGGCAGGACAAGUAUGGUAACCUAACCUCACUGUAUGAAGGAGGAGGCUGUGUGUAAGGAGACGCAAGACCGCUGAACCCUGAACCCUGACCUUUGACCCUCGCACAGCCACCUGCUCCCCUCUCAGGAGAACCUAUGGGCGCCUCUUCCCACUAUAAUCUUUGAACCCCACAUCACUCCCCCGUAUGACCUCAAGGGCAUUCCCCGGAUAGAAAAGUGGAAAUGGUGUAUGGUGUGAAUGAACGGUCUACGCUGGAGCCUUCAACUGGAUGAGUUCAAGCUGAGGGCCUGGCGCAACGUGUGCCGAGAGAUGGUGGCUGGCCAUUCCCAACACUCCCGCAUCGGAAUGCUGCUGGACUACCAGGCUGGAAAACUGACGUACUAUGAAGACGGCCGACGCAGCUGCUGACUUCCACUGUGCCUUCACUCAGGAGCUGUUCCCUGCCUGUUGGAUAGGGGAAGGCGUCAGCGUCACCCUCUGCUCGCCAUGACGACAACACGAAAGGGAAUGACCGGGACCUAACAAUCUUUUAUGGAACUAGUCUACAUGACUAUAGACUUAGACAUUAUACCUGCCCCAUUAUGGUGUCUGCACGGGCAGCACCAUUGAGGCAACCUCCAUUUCAAGUAAAUUGUCUUCUACUACUUCUAUGAGUUGGCAAACAAACUGAAAUGGUUCACACUGCCACCUAGACUGUGUUUGAACAGGUAUAAAGCAAAGGUUGGUGAUUUACUGCCACUUGGGGUUAUGGAAUAUUUUCAUUGGCUGAUACCACCUGUGAUCUGUAUGGAAUUCUGUGAGCUUUCUUUAACCCGUAGGAAGUCCCAUCUCCCCCCCCCCCCCUUUUACCCUCAGAAAAGCCUAAAUUCGGCAGGGCAUGGACUCUUCAGGGAUACUGGCCCAUGUUGUCUCCAAUGCUUUCCACAGCUGUGUCAAGUUGGCUGGAUGUCCUUUGGUUCGUCCAUCCUUGAUACACGGGAAACUGAGCAUGAAAACCCCAGCAACGUUGCAGUUCUUGGCAGAAACCGGUGCGCCGGCCACCUAAUAACAUACCCCGUUCAUAGGCACUUAAAUGAAAUAUCCCUAUUUUUCUCAAACGUCGUGGAAGCUUGGCGUAUUACAAAAACUCUCCCCACCCCCACCCCCUUUCUCAACAAGCCUAGAGUCACUCCUACUUUGCAUGCUCUCACCCUUUCAUUCUAAAACGUGUGGAUUUGUUUAUAUAGGCAUAGCUAGCUAACUAGCUAGCCAGCCAUUUCAUACAGCUACAGCAGCAGUCCACUAGCUAACCACUGGACACAGAAUGUCGAGUGAUGAGGUGAAAUAUAACGUUAAACUCCAAAAAGGAUUUGUAUUGUAAAACCACAUGGCAAGUUAACGUGAUGUGUUCUUUCAGUUCCCUUGCUAGCCUUGUUAACGUUUGCUAAACCAAUGUUAGUUUGACACAAUUGCAGCUACAGCUAGGCUGCAAUAGUUUCAACCUUGUGAAAUUGUUUUGUAAUAGCCAAUGUAUUUAAGAAAGUAUUUCACAUAGCAGGACAUCCAGCUGACGUCAUUCAUUGUAUGCGCAGGUUGCAUUGGACAACGUUGAUGAUGGCAGGGCAAGGGGCAGGGCUAGAGGGAGAGCCAGGGGCAGAGGACGGACAGGCAGAGGCAGGCAGUAGAGAGACAGAAAUGAGGAUGAGGAGAGUCUUUUUGCUCUCCGACAUGAUAGAAUGGCUGCCACACAGGUUUGUAUUAUGUUAAAUGCCAAUAUAUUUAUCAAAAAUAAAGUACUUUCUCUUGAAUAGCUAUUCUAUGAACAUAAUAAUUGGUGGAUUAAUACAUUUUUGUUUUUGGUAUUUAUCGACACAUACUACUUUCAGUAGAAACAUGAUCUAGUUUCAUCAAUUUGCAAUGGAAAGUAGUUGCUUUGAAUGAAUCGUAGUCCUUGACCAUACAUCGGAGAACAACCUUUAUUUGAGUGUGGAGAGAAAUAUCACAUUCUGCCUUACUGAUAAUAGGCUGUGUGCAUCUGUUCAUUCAGAAAUGCAUCAUUAGGGAGCAGGAUUAUGCAGACAACAGAGGUGGUGAGGCUGAUAUUUAAGCGAGAGCCAGGAUUGAUUUUUGAUGUCCUUGAGAUUUACCGACAACGGAAUGGUAAGCCUACAGAGAGAGAGAGAGGAAGUGUUGCGGUCAGGGACCAGCCUUCUGUGUAAGCCAGCUGCCACAUUUUGCCCAGUACUGCCUAGACAACAGAUAUUUAUGUUUGCACAGGCGGUAAAGGGUUGACGUGCUGGCAGUGGCUGACGCAGUAGAGCCUGGAGAUGACUCCAGGGAAUACCGGCAUGCUGCCUACACACAGUUUAGCAAGGCUUGGAGUAAGUUCUCAUUUACCUGCAGUGACCUGGCACAAGUCAUUGGUGUUAAAUGUUGCUUUGAGGGUGACAUUUCAACCGUAGAAUUAUGUUUGUGAUGUGGCAGCUUUGUGCAGGAAACUGAGUUGUCAUCCCCAGUUACUGUGUUUGGAGAGUCAGGGAUACCUUCCCUGGUCCCCAUUCUGAGUACACUGGGUUCUACCCUGGGCGCUAGGAUUCUCAAAGUGUUUGGCAUGAUGACGUACUAGUGUUAUGCCCAAAGAAUGUCCAUUGCCAGACACUUAUCGGCAUGACAUUAGUAUGACAUCGUGUCACUUGCUGUGAACAGAACACAACCUCUCCCUCAGUAUGCAUUCUCCACACACAAACACCUGCCAGGUGCAUCUUCAGGACAUCAACCUUCUUACUGGGCACAUCAUGCCAUAUAAAAUAUUCUAAAGGUUGCUUGUUUAUUUCUCACCCAAAAGUGUCAUACUGCACUUUCUCCCGGCACAAUAAAGUUUAAAUGGGAAAAUGUCCGAUUUUUAUUCAUACAUCUGAAAGUGUGCUUGAAUAAAACAUUAUUUCACUUUUUUUAUUUUGUAUAUUAUUUUUUUCUGAAUAAAAAGU